rnacentral:tRNA from 1 species
GUCUGGUUAGCUCAGUUGGUUAGAGCAUGGUGCUAAUAACACCACAGUCUCGGGUUCGAUCCCUGUAUGGGGCA